GUAGGGUGCGAGCGUUAAUCGGAAUUACUGGGCGUAAAGCGUGCGCAGGCGGUUGUGCAAGACAGAUGUGAAAUCCCCGGGCUCAACCUGGGAAUUGCAUUUGUGACUGCACGGCUAGAGUGUGUCAGAGGGGGGUAGAAUUCCACGUGUAGCAGUGAAAUGCGUAGAGAUGUGGAGGAAUACCGAUGGCGAAGGCAGCCCCCUGGGAUAACACUGACGCUCAUGCACGAAAGCGUGGGGAGCAAACAGGAUUAGAUACCCUGGUAGUCCCACGCCCCUAAACGAUGUCAACUAGUUGUCGGGUCUUAAUUGACUUGGUAACGCAGCUAACGCGUGAAGUUGACCGCCUGGGGAGUACGGUCGCAAGAUUA
rnacentral:rRNA from 1 species